rnacentral:rRNA from 1 species
UUAAGCUAAUAAGAGCGCAGGGAGGAUGCCUUGGCAUCAGGAGCCGAAGAAGGACGUGGUAAGCUGCGAAAAGCUACGGGGAUUGGCAAGCACGAUAUGAUCCGUAGAUGUCCGAAUGGAGCAAUCCACAUGGAGUCAAGUCCAUGUAUCAUAUACUGAAUAAAUAGGUAUAUGAGGGGAACCGCCCGAACUGAAACAUCUAAGUAGGGCGAGGAAAAGAAAUCAACCGAGAUUCUGUGAGUAGUGGCGAGCGAAAGCGGAAGAGGCUAAACCAUAGGUAGCAAUACUUAUGGGGUUUCGGACAGCAUUUAGUAUUGAUAAUUUCUAGUUGAAACGUGUGGGAAAACGUACCGAAGAGUGUGAGAGUCACGUAAGCGAAAGAGAGAGUCAGCGAGCUGUAUCCAAAGUACCGCGGGACACGUGAAACCCCGUGGGAAGAUGGGGGGACCAUCCUCCAAGCCUAAAUACUACCUGAUGACCGAUAGCGAAAAGUACUGUGAAGGAAAGGUGAAAAGCACCCCGGGAGGGGAGUGAAAGAGAACCUGAAACCCUGUGCUUACAAGCACUUAGAGCACGUCAAAGUGUGAUAAGGUACCUAUUGUAGAAUGGUCCGGCGAGUUAUUGUAUGCAGCGAGGUUAAGUAGUUCAGCUACGGAGCCGAAGUGAGAGCGAGUGUUAACAGCACGUUCAGUUGCAUGCAAUAGACCCGAAACCGGGUGACCUAUCCAUGUCCAGGAUGAAGUGAGGGUAAAACCUCAUGGAGGUCCGAACCCACUCCCGUUGAAAUGGUAGGGGAUGAGGUGUGGAUAGCGGAGAAAUUCCAAUCGAACCCGGAUAUAGCUGGUUCUCCCCGAAAUAGUUUUAGGACUAGCCUCGUGAUUAAGAUUAUCGGAGGUAAAGCACUGAAUGGCCUAGGGGUCGAGAGAUUACCGAAGCCUAUCAAACUCUGAAUGCCGAAUAAUCAUGCACGGGAGUCAGACUGUGUGAGAUAAGUUUCAUAGUCGAAAGGGAAACAGCCCAGACCUACAGCUAAGGUCCCAAAGUACGUUUAAGUGGAAAACGAUGUGAAAUUGCGUAGACAACCAGGAUGUUGGCUUAGAAGCAGCCAUACAUUAAAAGAGUGCGUAAUAGCUCACUGGUCGAGAGGUCCUGCGCCGAAAAUGUCCGGGGCUGAAACGCGCCACCGAAACUAAGGAACCGAAAGGUUGGUAGAGGAGCAUUGCAUGCGGGAAGAAGCAGUACCGUAAGGAGCUGUGGACUGCAUGGAAGAGAGAAUGCCGGAAUGAGUAGCGAGAAUAAGGUGAGAAUCCUUAUGGCCGAAUAUCCAAGGUUUCCAGAGUAAAGCUGAUCUGCUCUGGGUAAGUCGGGGCCUAAGGCGAGGUCAAAAGACGUAGCCGAUGGACAACAGGUUUAGAUUCCUGUACCGCAUAUAAACAGAACUGUGGGGACGCAUGGGGAGAGCAUGGGCCGGGAAUGGAAAUACCGGUGCAAGCGAAGGAGGUGUGCAGCCGGCAAAUCCGCUGCAUGAGCCGAAAGCGUGACGCGGAGCGAAAUGAAAGUAGCGAAGCAUGUGAGCCCUGUGCCGAGAAAAGCCGCUAUUGUUUUAUAUGUGCCCGUACCGUAAACCGACACAGGUGGAUGAGGAGAGAAUCCUAAGGCCGACGGAAGAAGCAUUGUUAAGGAACUCGGCAAAAUGACCCCGUAACUUCGGGAGAAGGGGUGCCCACGAAAGUGGGCCGCAGAGAAUAGGCUCAAGCAACUGUUUAGCAAAAACACAGGUCUAUGCGAAACCGAAAGGUGAAGUAUAUGGGCUGACGCCUGCCCGGUGCUGGAAGGUUAAGAGGAGAGGUUAGCGCAAGCGAAGCUUUGAAUUUAAGCCCCAGUAAACGGCGGCCGUAACUAUAACGGUCCUAAGGUAGCGAAAUUCCUUGUC